UGUAUCUCCGGGGAUGCGGCCGAGGUAGUACAGCGUGCGGAUGCAGUAUCCGGUUGGACUGGGUUUAAAGGGUGUUUAGGCGGCUAUUUAAACCCGAGGUGAAAUCACUGAGCUCAACUCAGAAACUGACUUGGUGAGUAUUUAUCUUGAAUACAGUUGAAGUAGGAGGAAUAUCUCAUGUAGCGGUGAAAUUCAUAGAUAUGACAUAGAAAACCACUUGCGAAGGCAGCUUGCUAAACGAUGAUUGACGCUGAGGCACGAAAGCGUGGGGAUCAAACAGGAUUAGAUACCCCAGUAGUC
rnacentral:rRNA from 1 species